rnacentral:tRNA from 1 species
AAAGAAGUAAGCUAAUAAAGCUCUUAGGUUCAUACCCUAAUUAUGAAAGUUCAAUCUUUCCUUCUUUA